rnacentral:SRP_RNA from 1 species
AUUCGGACUAGGUCGGGCAGCUAGGCCCUGCUCGCAACCCGCGCUAUGGUCUUCAGCGGGGGCCGAAACCCGAGUGCGUCCGGCCGACCGGUGUGGGCCCUGCAAGCCAACGUCGAAGCCUCGUCCUGCGGGGGCAGCGGCCCGCGCGGACACGCCUGCAGGGGCGCUGUCGCGCGGGUAAUCGGGGUCACCCCGUCAGGCGCGGAAGCGAGCAGCGGCCCCCCGGACACCUGUCGCUCGCAGGGUCGCGGGGUGGAGGAAGCGAGCGGGACACCCCCCACCGGAACGCCGGGCAACCUCGGGCGUCCAUCU